rnacentral:rRNA from 1 species
GACGAACGCUGGCGGCGUGCCUAAUACAUGCAAGUAGAACGCACAGUUUAUACCGUAGCUUGCUACACCAUAGACUGUGAGUUGCGAACGGGUGAGUAACGCGUAGGUAACCUGCCUGGUAGCGGGGGAUAACUAUUGGAAACGAUAGCUAAUACCGCAUAAUAUUGAUUAUUGCAUGAUAAUUGAUUGAAGGAUGCUAUUGCAUCACUACCAUAUGGACCUGCGUUGUAUUAGCUAGUAGGUGAGGUAACGGCUCACCUAGGCGACGAUACAUAGCCGACCUGAGAGGGUGAUCGGCCACACUGGGACUGAGACACGGCCCAGACUCCUACGGGAGGCAGCAGUAGGGAAUCUUCGGCAAUGGACGAAAGUCUGACCGAGCAACGCCGCGUGAGUGAAGAAGGUUGUCGGAUCGUAAAGCUCUGUUGUAAGAGAAGAACGGGUGUGAGAGUGGAAAGUUCACACUGUGACGGUAUCUUACCAGAAAGGGACGGCUAACUACGUG